AGUUUGAUCAUGGCUCAGAACUAACGCUGGCGGCGUGCCUAACACAUGCAAGUCGAACGAGAAAGUUGGCUUCGGCCAAUGAGUAAAGUGGCGCACGGGUGAGUAACACGUGGAUAACCUUCCCUUCAGUCAGGAAUAACCUACCGAAAGGUAAGCUAAUACCUGAUCCUACGGAUCCACUGCGGUGGGUUCGUCAAAGAUGGCCUCUGCUUGCAAGCUAUCGCUGUUGGAUGGGUCCGCGUACCAUUAGCUAGUUGGCAGGGUAAUGGCCUACCAAGGCUCUGAUGGUUAGCUGGUCUGAGAGGAUGACCAGCCACACUGGAACUGAGACACGGUCCAGACUCCUACGGGAGGCAGCAGUGAGGAAUAUUGCGCAAUGGGGGAAACCCUGACGCAGCGACGCCGCGUGAGUGAGGAAGGCCUUCGGGUCGUAAAGCUCUGUCAGAUGGGAAGAAAUGGCUGGAUGCCAAUACCAUUCAGCCUUGACGGUACCAUCAGAGGAAGCACCGGCCAACUCCGUGCCAGCAGCCGCGGUAAUACGGAGGGUGCAAGCGUUGUUCGGAAUUAUUGGGCGUAAAGCGCGUGUAGGCGGUAGGGUAAGUCAGAUGUGAAAGCCCUGGGCUCAACCCAGGAAGUGCAUUUGAAACUGCUCUGCUAGAGUGGGGGAGAGG
rnacentral:rRNA from 1 species